rnacentral:rRNA from 1 species
AGUAAAAGUCGUAACAAGGUUUCCGUAGGUGAACCUGCGGAAGGAUCAUUACCGAGCGCGAGGCCACGCAGGGCGCCAGCCCCGCGUGGCCGACCCUCCACCCGUGCUGAUAUAUCAGGCUGCUCUGGCGGGCCUGCCGGCCCCGGCCGGGAGCGCCCGCCAGAGACGCCCCAACUCGUGCUGUCAGUGAUGUCUGAGUUGCAAUUAAUAAAGUAAAACUUUCAACAACGGAUCUCUUGGCUCUGGCAUCGAUGAAGAACGCAGCGAAAUGCGAUAAGUAAUGUGAAUUGCAGAAUUUAGUGAAUCAUCGAAUCUUUGAACGCACAUUGCGCCCCCCGGUAUUCCGAGGGGCACGCCUGUUCGAGCGUCAUAACAACCCCUCAAGCCUGGCUUGGUCCUGGGGCUCGCCCGCUGGGCGGCCCUUAACACAGUGGCGGCGCCGUCGUGCUCUACGCGUAGUAAUUCUUCUCGCGACAGGGCGCUGACGGGGCCUGCCGAAGCUCCUUCUCUCGGUUGACCUCGGAUCAGGUAGGGAUACCCGCUGAACUUAAGCAUAUCAAUAAGCGGAGGA